rnacentral:tRNA from 1 species
UCCCUGGUGGUCCAGUGGUUAAGACUCUGUGCUGCCAAUGUAGGGAACAUGAGUUCAAUCCUUGUUUGGGGAA